rnacentral:rRNA from 1 species
GAGCAUGUGGUUUAAUUCGAAGCAACGCGAAGAACCUUACCUAAGCUUGACAUCCCAAUGACAUCUCCUUAAUCGGAGAGUUCCUUUCGGGGACAUUGGUGACAGGUGGUGCAUGGUUGUCGUCAGCCCGUGUCGUGAGAUGUUGGGUUAAGUCCCGCAACGAGCGCAACCCUUGUCUUUAGUUGCCAUCAUUAAGUUGGGCACUCUAGAGA